GACGAACGCUGGCGGGAUGCCUUACACAUGCAAGUCGAACGGAGUGGCGAACGGGUGAGUAAUGUAUCGGGACGUGCCCAGUAGCGGGGGAUAACUACGCGAAAGCGUAGCUAAUACCGCAUACUAUUGAGGCGGCCGAUAUCGGAUUAGCUCGUUGUUGGGGUAACGGCUCACCAAGGCGACGCUGCGUAGCUGGUUUGAGAGGAUGACCAGCCACACUGGGACUGGGACACGCCCCAGACUCCUACGGGAGGCAGCAGUGGGGAAUUUUGGACAAUGGGGGAAAGCCUGAUCCAGCCAACCGGCGUGGGCGAUGAAGGCCUUCGGGUUGUAAAGCACUUUUGGCAGGAAAGCGGUACCUGAAGAAUAAGCACCGGCUAACUACGUGCCAGCAGCCGCGGUAAUUC
rnacentral:rRNA from 1 species